rnacentral:rRNA from 1 species
UACGUAGGGGGCAAGCGUUGUCCGGAUUUAUUGGGCGUAAAGAGCGUGUAGGCGGUCAGGUAGGUCCGUUGUGAAAACUCGAGGCUCAACCUCGAGACGCCGAUGGAAACCAUCUGACUAGAGUCCGGAAGAGGAGAGUGGAAUUCCUGGUGUAGCGGUGAAAUGCGCAGAUAUCAGGAAGAACACCCGUGGCGAAGGCGACUCUCUGGGACGGUACUGACGCUGAGACGCGAAAGCGUGGGGAGCGAACAGG